GGCAGCACGGGGGCAACCCUGGUGGCGAGUGGCGAACGGGUGAGUAAUACAUCGGAACGUGCCCAGUCGUGGGGGAUAACGUAGCGAAAGUUACGCUAAUACCGCAUACGUCCUACGGGAGAAAGCAGGGGACCUUCGGGCCUUGCGCUAUCAGAUGAGCCUAGGUCGGAUUAGCUAGUUGGUGAGGUAAUGGCUCACCAAGGCUACGAUCCGUAACUGGUCUGAGAGGAUGAUCAGUCACACUGGAACUGAGACACGGUCCAGACUCCUACGGGAGGCAGCAGUGGGGAAUAUUGGACAAUGGGCGAAAGCCUGAUCCAGCCAUGCCGCGUGUGUGAAGAAGGUCUUCGGAUUGUAAAGCACUUUAAGUUGGGAGGAAGGGCAUUAACCUAAUACGUUGGUGUCUUGACGUUACCGACAGAAUAAGCACCGGCUAACUUCGUGCCAGCAGCCGCGGUAAUACGAAGGGUGCAAGCGUUAAUCGGAAUUACUGGGCGUAAAGCGCGCGUAGGUGGUUCAGUAAGUUGAAUGUGAAAGCCCCGGGCUCAACCUGGGAACUGCAUCCAAAACUGCUGAGCUAGAGUAUGGUAGAGGGUAGUGGAAUUUCCUGUGUAGCGGUGAAAUGCGUAGAUAUAGGAAGGAACACCAGUGGCGAAGGCGACUACCUGGACUGAUACUGACACUGAGGUGCGAAAGCGUGGGGAGCAAACAGGAUUAGAUACCCUGGUAGUCCACGCCGUAAACGAUGUCGACUAGCCGUUGGGAGUCUUGAACUCUUAGUGGCGCAGCUAACGCAUUAAGUCGACCGCCUGGGGAGUACGGCCGCAAGGUUAAAACUCAAAUGAAUUGACGGGGGCCCGCACAAGCGGUGGANCAUGUGGUUUAAUUCGAAGCAACGCGAAGANCCUUACCNG
rnacentral:rRNA from 1 species